rnacentral:rRNA from 1 species
CACGUGGGUACUGCCUCGGGUUGGGAUUAACAUUUCCGAGAUGCUAAUACGAAUAGACACGACUCGCAAGAGGAUGCGGUCAAAGCUGGCCUCUAUACAUAAGCUAGCGCCUGAGGAUGGGCCCGCGGCGCAUCAUGGUAGUUGGUGAGGUAACGGCUCACCAAGCCGAAACGCGUACUGGUCUGAGAGGAUGAUCAGCACACUGGAACUGAACACGGUCCAACUCCUACGGGAGGCAGCAGUGGGGAAUCUUGCGCAAUGGGCGAAAGCCUGACGCAGCGACGCCGCGUGAGUGAUGAAGGCCUUCGGGUUGUAAAGCUCUGUGGGGAGAGACGAAUAAGUGCGGGCUAAUACUCCGCAUGAUGACGGUAUCUCCUUUAGCAAGCACCGGCUAACUCUGUGCCAGCAGCCGCGGUAAGACAGAGGGUGCAAACGUUGUUCGGAAUUACUGGGCGUAAAGCGAGUGUAGGCGGUUUCCUAAGUCAGGUGUGAAAGCCCCGGGCUCAACCCGGGAAGUGCACUUGAAACUGGGAGGCUAGAGUAUCGGAGAGGUUGGUGGAAUUCUCGGUGUAGAGGUGAAAUUUCGUAGAUUCGAGAGGA